UGCGAGGCAGGCAGUGAUGCUGCGGCCGCUUCGCACUGUGGCUCCUGCCGACCGCCAGGCGCUGUUACAGUGGAUGCGAACUAACCGUAAGUAUGCAGCAGCAGCCGGAACCCACAGUUCACCUUGGUGCAUUCCUUUAUGAUGAAGACUUAUUGAUUCAUUAUAUGAGAAAGGAAAAAUGAGCAGAAACUACUGUAUGAUGUGCAGCUCACACCAGACAGCAACUUUAGGGUUAUCUUUCCAGUUCAGCAGUGCAACUCUAUGGAGUAGAAUUGAAAGGAGACUUUUCGCCAAUUGCAGGAAAUGGUCAUAAAAAAAUACCUGCUCACUGACAGAAUAAAGUCUCACUCUGUCACCUGGCUGGAGUUUAGUGACACGAUCUUAGCUCCCUGCAACCUCUGCCUCCUGAGUUCAAGUGAUUCUCCUACCUCAGCCUCCUGAGUAGCUGGAAUUACAGAGUAAUUUAUCCCUACUUACAGAGAGAUUGCCCUACGUGUAACAGCUGCAUACAAAAAAGUUAUAAAAUUAUCAUUGGUUUAACAAGGAUAAGUGAAAAACAUU
rnacentral:lncRNA from 10 species